GGAGAAGUGGCAGAUGGGGUUGCGUUUAGCUUGAAACUAAAAAGAGGGGGGUUCGAAUCCCUUCUUCUCUU
rnacentral:tRNA from 1 species